AUUGAACGCUGGCGGCAUGCCUUACACAUGCAAGUCGAACGGCAGCAUGGAGAGCUUGCUCUCUGAUGGCGAGUGGCGAACGGGUGAGUAAUGCAUCGGAACGUACCGUGUAAUGGGGGAUAACGUAGCGAAAGUUACGCUAAUACCGCAUACGACCUGAGGGUGAAAGCAGGGGAUCGCAAGACCUUGCGUUAUACGAGCGGCCGAUGUCAGAUUAGCUAGUUGGUGAGGUAAAGGCUCACCAAGGCGACGAUCUGUAGCGGGUCUGAGAGGAAGAUACACCACACUGGGACUGAGACACGGCCCAGACUCCUACGGGAGGCAGCAGUGGGGAAUUUUGGACAAUGGGGGCAACCCUGAUCCAGCCAUGCCGCGCGAGUGAAGAAGGCCUUCGGGUUGUAAAGCUCUUUCGACCGUGAAGAAAUCGCACAGGCUAAUACUCUGUGUGGAUGACGGUACCGGCAUAAGAAGCACCGGCUAACUACGUGCCAGCAGCCGCAGUAA
rnacentral:rRNA from 1 species